GGCAAUUACAACCCAGAGUGAGGGCAUCAGGAAAGUAUAGUAUGGGAUAAAAAUACUAUCCAGUAAAAUACUGUCCAGAGCAGGACAGAAAGGAGUCAGAGAAGCUUAGAAAAGAAAUAUGAAUGUACCAGAAAGGGUGUGUGAGUGGAACCAUGCAAAGGAAGUUCAGGAAUGAUCCCAGAAAGCAAUUCCUGACAGAGGAGGAAGCAGGGGGAUGAAAAGGCUGGCAUCGGUGUCAGAGCAGCCACCAAACUAUUUAAAAAUGAAGCAACAGACGAAGAGAGUUCAGUAUGGGCUCAGGACAUGGAUGUCCCUGCAAAACCACAGCUCUGCCAGUAACAGGCCUGCCAUCUGAGCAAACUGCUUCACCUCUCUAAUCCUUAUAUGCCUCAAAUUUAAAAGGUAAGUUGCAAGUCAUC
rnacentral:lncRNA from 1 species